rnacentral:rRNA from 1 species
AAUGAACGUUGGCGGCGUGGAUUAGGCAUGCAAGUCGAGCGAGAAGUUCUCCUUCGGGAGAACGGACAGCGGCGAAAGGGAGAGUAACAUGUGGGUCACCUACCCCUGAGUACGGGAUAGCUGCGGGAAACUGCAGGUAAUACCGUAUAACAUCUCAGGAUCAAAGCUCCGGCGCUUGGGGACGGGCCCGCAUACUAUUAGCUAGUUGGUAAGGUAAUGGCUUACCAAGGCGAAGAUGGUUACCGGGUGUGAGAGCAUGACCCGGCUCACUGGGACUGAGACACUGCCCAGACACCUCCGGGUGGCUGCAGUCGAGAAUCUUCGGCAAUGGACGAAAGUCUGACCGAGCGACGCCGCGUGCGGGAUGAAGGC